rnacentral:sRNA from 2 species
CUGCAUCCCAAACCUCAAACCGACUAACAAUUAACUCAAAGAUUCUUGCUUCACCUAACCACUUUCGCCGUCGUCUCGUCUACCAGAAAUUCCAGGCCUGAAACAGUCAAGGCGGCAGACAUAAUAUCCUGUGAUGCCGGCUGUUUCCACUGCGUCACGCUCACUGAUGCUGCAUAUAGCAUACUCCGAUUCCUUGGAUCUAUGUGCUCCAUGUUGGCCAGCUUAUUGCAUCGGGUAAUGCGAGAGCAGCAAUAAUCCCCGCAUCCCAUCCCUCCAUAAAUCUCAGCCACAGCCCUCUAUGCUCUGUACGGAGUACCAAGAUCACCCACCUCCCUAGAUCAAAAUCGAACUGCUACCCGCAAGGCUAUCAAACGAGGGGGCUUUCGUCAAUGGUGGCGCGUUUUGGGGCGCUGCGCUGGCUGGUCAAAGGCCAAUUUGGCUCCAAAUUCAAUCCACCCAGGCUCAGGCUCCAAAAUUCUUUGCCAGGUUAACCGCCGUUAGCCUUUUUCAAAAAAAAAAAAGCAGUUGCAUGAUCCGUCCUGCCGGCCACUAAUAUCCCUUAUAAAAAUAGCUCUGUCAGAACACUUGCAUCUGGCUCGCACUAGUGAUAUGGACGUUGCCAACGCGUUCGUCCAGUCAAGCGAAACCAACUACCAACAUCAUCAGCGAACGGAUCUGCCACCAUGUUGUUGUUUGUAGAUAUGAAAAGGAUCAGAAAAUCUGAAACGUACCUACUGUCAUAAUGUGGAAGGUUCGCCUUCAUGUAACCGAAAAAUAAGGAAUCUGCCAACAAAAAAGAAAAGAAACAGGACAGGGGGAAACACAGAAAGGGACAAAGCUGGAUGGGCGAUUAAGUGAACCAAACCCCAUAUCCAUAGCCAGACUAAAGCCCCGUAGUUGCCGAGCAGUAUUUCUUUCCCCUUCUUUUAUUGUCAUUGCUAUUUAUUAUCUAUCGCUUUCUCCCUCUUUUGUUAACUUCUUUUUUCUUUGAAAGAAGACUCACUAAAGAGAGAAACCGGAAACCCUUGGGGCUAAACGAAGUCAACAUCAAUCCCAACUCCGGAGUUUCUGCCCGACAACGAGGAGUUACUUUUACCGGGCCCGAUACCCGCUGGCCGCUAUCGGGUUCCUUAUCUGUUACUGCCUUAUCACUCAC